rnacentral:rRNA from 1 species
GUCCACGCCGUAAACGAUGGAUGCUAGCCGUCGGCAAGCUUGCUUGUCGGUGGCGCAGCUAACGCAUUAAGCAUCCCGCCUGGGGAGUACGGCCGCAAGGUUAAAACUCAAAGGAAUUGACGGGGGGCCCCGCACAAGCGGUGGAGCAUGUGGUUUAAUUCGACGCAACGCGAAGAACCUUACCAAGCCUUGACAUGUCCGGACAGUUUCCUGAAAGGGAAUCCUCCUAGCAAUAGGUCGGAACACAGGUGCUGCAUGGCUGUCGU